ACGGGGCGUGGUUGGUGGGCG
rnacentral:miRNA from 1 species